UAACAUUUUUAAAGAACAAAAAUCACAAUAAAAAUGCUUACAGGAUUCGAAAUUCAUCACAAAACCUGAAAAAGUUUUGCUCAAUCCCAAGCGUUAUGGAAAAUGGGCUCAUGCCUGUGACAUGAAUUUUCUACAGUUACGCGAUGAACUGGGAACUUGGGACGAGGCUUACAAGCGGUGCUGCUCCCUCGGGAUGAACCUCAUGUCGGUCCAAAAUCCGAGCAAACAAUACUGCAUGGAUAUAUUUCGAGGUAAUACUGGGUAUCUCCCGUUCAAAGGCCACAUCUGGACGUCAGGGAGGGACCUUGAGGCUUGUCGCGGAAAAUUGCGCUGGUGCACCGGCUACCUGAACGACUUCUUGAAAAAGGAUAUCGUUUGGAAGAAAGGCGUGGACCCGAAAUCAGCAAACAACUCUUGCGUGUACAUCGACUUUGACGAUCCCGAUGUGCGCAGCCUUGGCUUGGCUGACUGCUCUGAGAAGAAACAGAUCGUG